GGCGGCGUAGCUCAGUGGUAGAGCAGAGGAAUCAUAAUCCUUUGGUCAGGGGUCCGAAUCCCUUCGCCGCUACCA
rnacentral:tRNA from 2 species